rnacentral:rRNA from 1 species
AUGUCGUCAUGGCCGAACAGCAACGAGACCUCUGGCGAUGACGACUACAUGAGCGAGUUCAGUAGCAUGCAGAUGGAGUACUUUCAAACUCUAGAUACUGUGAUAGAUCCAAGCUUUUGUGGGCUUGUGACUGAAUCUAACCGUAGGUGCGUCCUGCACAGGUAGAGGCCAGGCAAAUUCGUGGCAUUUGAAGGCACUGACACUGGCAGGAGAUUCAUAGGAUGUGGAACUGAGUGGGUAGAUGCCCCUUGGCCCGCAAUUUUGCAAAUGUGCUUAACCAAGCUCUAAGAUAUGUACCAUGAGAAGAACCUUGGUAGAGUCCAGGAUAACGAGGCUCAUGAGACAGAGGUUGCAAAAUUGAAGAAGGAGCUGGAUUCUCUGGCCAAUCAGUACAGCCAACUUGUGAACGAUGUUUCCAACUUGUUUGAUUAUCAGGAAGGAAUGAAAUCUAAUGACAUGGAUUACACAAGCCAUGCAAUUAAUGAAUUGAAGGAGAAGAAGAAACAACUUGAGGAGUAGUCAAAAAUUGAGGUUCAAAUGGAGAUGGUUAAGCUAAAAAAUGAACAGAGGUGCAUCUUGCACAAUCAAGUUGAUAUAAUUCAUAACACCAGGAAUGCCAUGAAGGAGACAAAGGUGGAAAGGGACCUCCUUAAAGAAGAGAAGAAGAAGCUGGAUCAUAUCAUUGCUGAGCUCCUGCAGGCUGGCCAUGGGUGCAAAGAAAAGCUAGAAUAGAUCAAAGAAGUUGUCAUGGAGGAGUGA